UUACAGCCAUACCAUGUUAAAAUGCCUGUUCUGUACGAUCACUGAAGAUAAGCAACAUUGAGCUUGGUUAGUACCUAGAUGGGUGACUUUUUGGGAAUAUCAGGUGCUGUAAG